CUUCCGUAGGGUACCUGCGGAAGGAUCAUUACUGUGAUUUAUAUCUUAUACACAUGCGUGAGCGCACCAAACACCUAAAAUUGUAAUAAUACCAGUCACUAAGUUUUAACAAAACAAAACUUUCAACAACGGAUCUCUUGGUUCUCGCAUCGAUGAAGAGCGCAGCGAAAUGCGAUACCUAGUGUGAAUUGCAGCCAUCGUGAAUCAUCGAGUUCUUGAACGCACAUUGCGCCCCAUGGUAUUCCAUGGGGCAUGCCUGUCUGAGCGUCGUUUCCUUCUUGCGCAAGCAGAGUUGAGAACAGGCUAUGCCUUUUUCGAAAUGGAACGUCGUGGACGAAGUGAACUAAACUUUUAGCACGCUUUGGCCGCCGAACUUUUAACUAAGCUCGACCUCAGAUCAGGUAGGAAUACCCGCUGAACUUAAGCAUAUCGGUAAGUAGAGGGAAGGAUCAUUACUGUGAUUUAUAUCUGAUACCCAUGCGUGAGCGCA
rnacentral:rRNA from 1 species